CAAGCAGGCGGUUCGGUAAGUCUUUUGUGAAAGCUCCCGGCUCAACUGGGAGAGGUCAAGGGAAACUACCGAGCUCGAGUGUGGUAGAGGAAGCUGGAAUUCCCGGUGUAGCGGUGAAAUGCGUAGAUAUCGGGAGGAAUACCUAUGGCGAAAGCAGGCUUCUGGGCCGUCACUGACGCUGAGUUGCGAAAGCUAGGGGAGCAAACAGGAUUAGAUACCCUGGUAGUCCUAGCCCUAAACGAUGUUCAUUAGAUGUGGGAGGUAUCGACCCCUUCCGCGUCGAAGCUAACGCAUUAAAUGAACCGCCUGGGGAGUACGGCCGCAAGGUUGAA
rnacentral:rRNA from 1 species